GAAACACCCCUCUGGAGAAGUACUUGCUUCAGUGGGGCUUUGGUGUUCACUGAGUCUUCCCCUUGAGUGUGUCACU
rnacentral:pre_miRNA from 1 species